GAUGAAGAACGUAGCAAAAUGCGAUAAGUAAUGUGAAUUGCAGAAUUCAGUGAAUCAUCGAAUCUUUGAACGCACAUUGCGCCCGCCAGUAUUCUGGCGGGCAUGCCUGUUCGAUCGUCAUUUCAACCCUCAAGCACAGCUUGGUGUUGGGACUCGCGUUAAUUCGCGUUCCCCAAAUUGAUUGGCGGUCACGUCGAGCUUCCAUAGCGUAGUAGUAAAACCCUCGUUACUGGUAAUCGUCGCGGCCACGCCGUUAAACCCCAACUUCUGAAUGUUGACCUCGGAUCAGGUAGGAAUACCCGCUGAACUUAAGCAUAUCAAUAAGCGGAGGA
rnacentral:misc_RNA from 1 species